rnacentral:rRNA from 1 species
UACGAGAACCCCAAGCGUUAUCCGGAAUUACUGGGCGUAAAGGGCUCGUAGGCGGCCAACUAAGUCAGACGUGAAAUCCCUCGGCUUAACCGGGGAACUGCGUCCGAUACUGGAGGGCUUGAGUGCGGGAGAGGGAUGUGGAAUUCCAGGUGUAGCGGUGAAAUGCGUAGAUAUCUGGAGGAACACCGGUGGCGAAGGCGGCAUCCUGGACCGACACUGACGCUGAUGCGCGAAAGCCAGGGGAGCAAACGGG